rnacentral:rRNA from 1 species
CCUACGGGUGGCAGCAGUGGGGAAUAUUGCACAAUGGGCGCAAGCCUGAUGCAGCCAUGCCGCGUGUGUGAAGAAGGCCUUCGGGUUGUAAAGCACUUUCAGCGGGGAGGAAGGCGUUAAGGUUAAUAACCUUGUCGAUUGACGUUACCCGCAGAAGAAGCACCGGCUAACUCCGUGCCAGCAGCCGCGGUAAUACGGAGGGUGCAAGCGUUAAUCGGAAUUACUGGGCGUAAAGCGCACGCAGGCGGUCUGUCAAGUCGGAUGUGAAAUCCCCGGGCUCAACCUGGGAACUGCAUUCGAAACUGGCAGGCUAGAGUCUUGUAGAGGGGGGUAGAAUUCCAGGUGUAGCGGUGAAAUGCGUAGAGAUCUGGAGGAAUACCGGUGGCGAAGGCGGCUCUCUGGCCUGUAACUGACGCUGAGGCGCGAAAGCGUGGGGAGCGAACAGGAUUAGAUACCCGUGUAGUC